AUUUUUUCUGCAUUGGUCAAUAAAGUAGCAUUGGAGGAUUCGAACGUCGUCCCUGCCUCCGGUCUGCUCACCGACGAGACGAUGACGAAGCCGAAGCCCUCGUUCUCACCACGGCGGAUUUCCACAUCAUAGGGCUGCACCACGGUGCUGACCACGCCGCUGCCGCCUCCCCCACCGCUGCCGAUGCCGCUGGUGCUGCCGCUGCCCGAGCUGACGGUGUUGAGGGAGUUCUGGCUGCCCUGCGGCGUUCGCUUCUCCUCUGUCAGCGAGGCCGGCUGGUUGCUGCUGUGGUGGGAAGAGGCUGGGGAUGGGACUUCGUUUUCUGCCUUGGGGACUGUGUAAACUACUUUGCGCCUGACGGUCAGAUUGACGUGGCCUUGCUUGGCCGCCUGUUGCAUAAG
rnacentral:lncRNA from 1 species